CCGGGCGACAUUUUCUUCCAGGUUCGGAGAGCACGCUGGUCUAGCUCUGAGGUUGUUAGAGAGCGUUAUUAGUAACUAUGGACAGAGUAUGUGGGUUUUUCAAUAGCCGUAGGUCGUUUUGGCUGUUAUAUUUCUGCUUUUUUGAGCUAAUAACCUGAUCAAACCAUGUUAAUCUUGAACAGAAUGGAUGUUUUUAAUAGACUAGAAGCACGCAUGUGCGUCAGCAGGGCUACAAGUCCACCACAUGGGCGCCCACGAGGUGAACGAGCAGGCCGACAGAGGAAACCGAAUGAGCAGUUUGUUCAAGAUGCGUCUUGAUGAAUUCAUCGGAGUUCUGCAGAGGGCCCAGAGCCACCACGCCACUAAGAUCCAUACACGAGUUUUAUAUUGGUUGGCCUAGUUUGUUGAAUGCGGAUUGAUGCUGCUGCUGAGCAUGUCCUAGUUCUGCAGAGGUUCCAGGCUCUCCCCUCGGAUCCAAAUGUAGACAAACGAAAAAGUUAUAUUGGGAAAGAUCGCUGUGGAAGGCGGCUCUGAAAUGAAGUAGCGCCCUAGCAAGCGAGAAGAAUAUAUUUCAUUGUGGCCGUCUAUAACCUGACAAGACGAAGCAGACCAUUGUCACAAUGCACGUGGUUGACUUGACUGUACAAAACCUCAAUUGAGAUAAACCUGAAUAAAAGUAUCAAUAGAAUUUCGUCUGGUUUAUUUGGCUAUAC